rnacentral:rRNA from 1 species
GGAUUGAACGCUGGCGGCAGGCCUAACACAUGCAAGUCGAGCGGUAGAGAGGUGCUUGCACCUCUUGAGAGCGGCGGACGGGUGAGUAAAGCCUAGGAAUCUGCCUGGUAGUGGGGGAUAACGCUCGGAAACGGACGCUAAUACCGCAUACGUCCUACGGGAGAAAGCAGGGGACCUUCGGGCCUUGCGCUAUCAGAUGAGCCUAGGUCGGAUUAGCUAGUUGGUGAGGUAAUGGCUCACCAAGGCGACGAUCCGUAACUGGUCUGAGAGGAUGAUCAGUCACACUGGAACUGAGACGACGGUCAGACUCCGUACGGGAGCAGCAGUGGGAAUAUGGACAAGUGGGCGAAAGCUGAUCCAGCCAUGCCGCGUG